ACUCCUACGGGAGGCAGCAGUGGGGAAUAUUGGACAAUGGGCGAAAGCCUGAUCCAGCGACGCCGCGUGUCGGAAGGAGUCCUUCGGGAUGUAAACGACUUUUGGUGGAGACGAAUAAGCAGCUCAGGGAAUGGGGCUGUGAUGACGGUAUCCAUGGAAUAAGCCCCGGCUAACUACGUGCCAGCAGCCGCGGUAAGACGUAGGGGGCAAGCGUUACCCGGAAUUACUGGGCGUAAAGGGAGCGUAGGCGGGAGGUCAAGUCCGGUGUGAAAGACCCUGGCUCAACCAGGGAUGAGGGCUGGAAACUGACAAUCUUGAGUACAGCAGAGGAAGAGGGAAUUACCGGUGUAGGGGUGAAAUCCGUAGAGACCGGUAAGAAGGCCAGUGGCGAAGGCGCUUUUCUGGGCUGUUACUGACGCUGAGGCUCGAAAGCCAGGGGAGCAAACCGGAUUAGAUACCCUGGUAGUC
rnacentral:rRNA from 1 species